GAGACACCAGUCCAUCGCAAGGCACCAUUUGUGCGCGCACAGGAAAUUUAUUGUAGUCAGUCCGGCUACCUGUAUGUUUUUAGACAGUGGGAGGAAACCAGAGAACGUGAGGGAACCCCAUGCGAACACAGGGAGAUCAUGUGCAAAAACUGCACAGACAGCAACCUGAACUCAGGAUCAAACCCAGGACUCUGGAGCUGUGAGGUGGCUGCACCACUACACACCAAAUUGUCAGCAGAGAAAACCCAUCAGCACUCAGGUUCAGCACAGUCAUCACGUGCUGGUGUCAGACAUGGAGGUCUCUAGCAUUAUGUCACUCUCGCGCAAGUCACAUUCUAAGAGGAAGCGCUGGAAGGCUUCGGCAGCCGGCGUCUCCAGGGACAUGACACUGCUCUCCUCCAGAGGCUGCGCCUGAUUCUCACUCUCUUCGGCUGAAGUGCUGAGUAUCUUCUUUAAGGCUGUUGUGCUGGGGAUCAUCUUUACUUUGUCCUUGAUAUCUGUUGCUGUGCCAGAAAAAAAAAAAAAGUUUUGAGCACAUUGGUACAAAACAGAAGCAGAAGGUUUCGUCUCAUGUAGUGAGAGGCGUUAACUUACCUAUAUAUGCAUCUGAGUCACCAAUAUACAUCUCAAUGCAGUGACCAAGCAUCGUAACAGAAAAUGUGUCAUCCCUUUUCAGACCGAGUGCCUGCAAAUUAAUAAUAAUAACUCAUAACACUUAUGCUCACUGAAAAUAUGAAACUUCUUUACAAUGUAAUGACAAGAACAUUUACAACCAAGAGAUUAGCUGGAUCACCUACAGUGUGAAAAUAGUCAAUGGCACUCUCAAAGUCCCCCAUAAGGCUGUGCACAUAGCCAAUAGCCGAGUAGGUGGACGCAUGCUGGGGGACAAGGACUAGAGCCUGCCGAUGGUAUUCCAGAGCCUGCUCAUACUUCCUAGGAAAACAGAACAUAUGUAAUAAUAAUAAUAAUAAUAAUAAUAAUAAUAGAAAUAUGCAUAAUCUCUAAUCUAAUCCUAAUACUAUCUAUUUAAAAAUAUUCCAAAUAUAUCUAUGUAAUUGAUAUAACUUAAUUCAAUACUGCAUAUUAUUAUUAUUAUUAAUGUCUAUUCAUGUUUAUUGUUUAUUUUCUUCAUUACUGUUUUUCUAUUCCUUUAUUUAUUCUUCUUGUUUGUCUAUAUAACUUAAUAUUAAUUUGCUUUGGCAACAUUGUUAAAACAGUUAUGCCAAUAAAGCACACUUUGAACGUGAAUGUAAUAAUAAUAAUAAUAAUAAUAAUAAUAAUAAUAAUAACAAUAAUAAUAUUAAUACACUGGACAGAAUAGAUAACUAUGAUGAGCGAAUACAUGCUCGUGUUCAUUUAUCCCUUUUUUUUUGUUUUAAAGAGAAUGAGGCAAAAGUAUUUACUUUAGAACAGAA